GACGAACGCUGGCGGCGUGCUUAACACAUGCAAGUCGAACGGUGAACCUCUUCGGAGGGGAUCAGCGGCGAACGGGUGAGUAACACGUGGGCAACCUGCCCCCGGCUCUGGGAUAACUCCAAGAAAUUGGGGCUAAUACCGGAUGUUCACCGCUUCCCGCAUGGGUGGUGGUGGAAAGGGUUUCCGGCUGGGGAUGGGCCCGCGGCCUAUCAGCUUGUUGGUGGGGUAGUGGCCUACCAAGGCGACGACGGGUAGCCGGCCUGAGAGGGUGACCGGCCACACUGGGACUGAGACACGGCCCAGACUCCUACGGGAGGCAGCAGUGGGGAAUAUUGCGCAAUGGGCGGAAGCCUGACGCAGCGACGCCGCGUGGGGGAUGACGGCCUUCGGGUUGUAAACCUCUUUCAGCAGGGACGAAGCGCAAGUGACGGUACCUGCAGAAGAAGCACCGGCCAACUACGUG
rnacentral:rRNA from 1 species